UGGGGAAUUUUGGACAAUGGGCGCAAGCCUGAUCCAGCAAUGCCGCGUGCAGGAUGAAGGCCUUCGGGUUGUAAACUGCUUUUGUACGGAACGAAAAGCUUCUGGUUAAUACCUGGGAGUCAUGACGGUACCGUAAGAAUAAGCACCGGCUAACUACGUGCCAGCAGCCGCGGUAAUACGUAGGGUGCGAGCGUUAAUCGGAACUACUGGGCGUAAAGUGUGCGCAGGCGGUUAUGUAAGACAGAGGUGAAAUCCCCGGGCUCAACCUGGGAACUGCCUUUGUGACUGCAUGGCUAGAGUGCGGCAGAGGGGGAUGGAAUUCCGCGUGUAGCAGUGAAAUGCGUAGAUAUGCGGAGGAGCACCGAUGGCGAAGGCAAUCCCCUGGGCCUGCACUGACGCUCAUGCACGAAAGCGUGGGGAGCAAACA
rnacentral:rRNA from 1 species